rnacentral:rRNA from 1 species
AAAAAUAGUAAUUUAUUGGCUUGAGUAGUAAAAGUUAUAUUCUUAAAACUUAAAAAAUUUGGCGGUAUUUUAGUCUAUUCAGAGGAAUCUGUUCUUUAAUUGAUAAUCCACAUUGAACCUUACUUAAUUUAUUAAUAUGUAUAUCGCCGUCAUAAGAAUAUAUUGUGAAGUAAAUAAUUUUCUAUAAUUAAAAUUAUAAUAUAUGUCAGGUCAAGGUGCAGUUUAUAGUUAAGUAGAAAUGGAUUACAAUAAAAUUAUUUAUAUGGAUUUUUAAAUUAAAAUUUAAAAUGAAAGUGGAUUUGAUAGUAAAAUUAUAAAGAUUAAUAUUUUGAUUUUAGCUCUAAAAUAUGC